rnacentral:rRNA from 1 species
UACGGGGGGGGCAAGCGUUGUUCGGAAUUACUGGGCGUAAAGGGCUCGUAGGCGGCCAACUAAGUCAGACGUGAAAUCCCUCAGCUUAACUGGGGAACUGCGUCUGAUACUGGAUGGCUUGGAUCCGGGAGAGGGAUGCGGAAUUCCAGGUGUAGCGGUGAAAUGCGUAGAUAUCUGGAGGAACACCGGUGGCGAAGGCGGCAUCCUGGACCGGUAUUGACGCUGAGGCGCGAAAGCCAGGGGAGCAAACGGG